CCUACGGGUGGCUGCAGUGAGGAAUAUUGGUCAAUGGGCGCGAGCCUGAACCAGCCAAGUCGCGUGAGGGAAGACGGUCCUAUGGAUUGUAAACCUCUUUUGUCGGGGAGCAAAAGACGCCACGCGUGGCGUUCCGCGAGUACCUGAUGAAAAAGCAUCGGCUAACUCCGUGCCAGCAGCCGCGGUAAUACGGAGGAUUCAAGCGUUAUCCGGAUUUAUUGGGUUUAAAGGGUGCGUAGGCGGGUCGUUAAGUUAGAGGUGAAAUUCCGGGGCUCAACCCCGGCACUGCCUGUGAUACUGGCGGGCUAGAGUUUAGUUGAGGUAGGCGGAAUGUAUGGUGUAGCGGUGAAAUGCAUAGAGAUCAUACAGAACACCGAUUGCGAAGGCAGCUUACCAAACUACGACUGACGUUGAGGCACGAAAGCGUGGGGAGCAAACAGGAUUAGAUACCCGUGUAGUC
rnacentral:rRNA from 1 species